rnacentral:rRNA from 1 species
UGGGGAAUAUUGCGCAAUGGGCGAAAGCCUGACGCAGCGACGCCGCGUGAGGGAUGAAGGCCUUCGGGUUGUAAACCUCUUUCAGCAGGGAAGAAGCGCAAGUGACGGUACCUGCAGAAGAAGCACCGGCUAACUACGUGCCAGCAGCCGCGGUAAUACGUAGGGUGCAAGCGUUGUCCGGAAUUAUUGGGCGUAAAGAGCUCGUAGGCGGUCUGUCGCGUCUGGUGUGAAAACUCGGGGCUUAACCCCGGGCCUGCAUCGGGUACGGGCAGACUAGAGUGCGGUAGGGGAGACUGGAAUUCCUGGUGUAGCGGUGAAAUGCGCAGA